rnacentral:RNase_P_RNA from 1 species
UGGGGGAGGUAGGCAAUCGCCCGCAUUCGCCGUGCGCGAAGUGCGAGAGGAAAGUCUGGACAUCAUAGGAGAGGAUACCAGUGAAAGACUGGGGGCCGUAAGGCUACGGAAAGUGCAACAGAAAAUAUUCCGCUAACAGCUUCGGCUGUUAGACAGGGUGAAAUAGACUGUUUUGUGAACAGUCUCUCACUUGGGGAAACCCAAGGAGUUGUAAACCCUAUCCGAUGCAAAGCAACUAGAAGCUAUAGAGCUCUCCGCCCUGCUUCUGACAAGCCGCUUGAGGACCCUGGUGACAGGGUCCCUAGAUGAAUGAUUGCCCUCGACAGGAUCCGGCUUAUCGCCUCCCCCUUUUU